UACGUAGGGUGCGAGCGUUGUCCGGAAUUAUUGGGCGUAAAGGGCUCGUAGGCGGUUUGUCGCGUCGGGAGUGAAAACUCAGGGCUUAACCCUGAGCCUGCUUCCGAUACGGGCAGACUAGAGGUAUGCAGGGGAGAACGGAAUUCCUGGUGUAGCGGUGAAAUGCGCAGAUAUCAGGAGGAACACCAAUGGCGAAGGCAGCUCUCUGGGACGGUACUGACGCUGAGACGCGAAAGCGUGGGGAGCGAACAGG
rnacentral:rRNA from 1 species